GCCCUUUUCUUUUAACUCAGUGGUAGAGUAAUCCCAUGGUAAGGCAUAAGCCCUCGGGAUAAGGAGCU
rnacentral:tRNA from 1 species